UACGGAGGGUGCGAGCGUUGUCCGGAAUCACUGGGCGUAAAGGGCGCGUAGGCGGCUUUUUAAGCGUGCGGUGAAAGCCCGGGGCUCAACCCCGGGUCGGCCGUGCGAACUGGAAAGCUCGAGCCCACUAGAGGCAGGCGGAAUUCCGGGUGUAGCGGUGGAAUGCGUAGAGAUCCGGAAGAACACCGGUGGCGAAGGCGGCCUGCUGGGGUGGAGCUGACGCUGAGGCGCGAAAGCGUGGGGAGCGAACAGG
rnacentral:rRNA from 1 species